UACGGAAGGCAGCAGUGGGAAUAUUGCACAAUGGGCGAAAGCCUGAUGCAGCUAUGCCGCGUGUAUGAAGAAGGCCUUAGGGUUGUAAAGUACUUUCAUCGGGGAGGAAAAAACAAAACUAAUAAUUUUAUUUCUUGACGUUACCCGAAAAAGAAGCACCGGCUAACUCCGUGCCAGCAGCCGCGGUAAUACGGAGGGUGCUAGCGUUAAUCAGAAUUACUGGGCGUAAAGAGCACGUAGGUGGUUUUUUUAAGUCAGAUGUGAAUCCCUGGGCUUAACCUAGGAACUGCAUUUUGAAACUGAAAUACUAGAGUAUCGUAGAGGGAGGUAGAAUUCUAGGUGUAGCGGUGAAAUGCGUAGAUAUCUGGAGGAAUACCUGUGGCGAAAGCGGCCUCCUAAACGAAUACUGACACUGAGGUGCGAAAGCGUGGGGAGCAAACAGGGAUUAGAUACC
rnacentral:rRNA from 1 species